rnacentral:SRP_RNA from 1 species
UUUAGGUGUGGUGAUGCAUGCCUGUGAUCCCUGCUGCUGGGAGAAUCUGAGGCUGGUGUUUGAUUAAGCUCAGGAGUUCUGAGCGUCAGAUUGGGGGUGUCCACACUAAGUUUAGCACUACCAUGGUGAACCCCUGGGGGUAGAGGGCCAGCAGGCUGCCCAAGGAAGGACAAACCAGUCCAGUUUGGGGAAAUGGAGCAAGUUAAAGCUUCCAUGCUGAUCAGUAGUGGGAUUGGACCCAUGAAUGGUCAUUGUACUUACCUAGGUCAUUCAGCUAAUAAGUGGCAGA